CUUUUUUUUCCCCGUCGAUUCAGCUUCUACAUGGACCCACACACAAAGGUGGAGACACUCAGUUGGGCUCUAAACUUUUCAUCCAUUUAAACUGUAGUUCUCGAGUGCCAGGGAACUCAGGAAAAGAACAGGCAAUUUCUUCCAUCUUCUCAAGAAACAGGACAAAGUUGCCAAAUGUUCCAGGCAUUGUUUCCAGUUCACUUCUUGCUGUGAAAAUCAAGCCAAAUCUCUGCUCCGUGUGAAGGACAGAUGAUUUAUAUCUCUCCUGACGGUCGUUCUGUAACUGAUUUAAGCAGUUUCUGCCAAAGCGAUGGAGAAGUAGGUCAUGUUAGUCUCCAGGUGCUUCGAGAAACAUCACAGAUCUCUGAGCACUCUUCAUACAUGUCUUUCUGAUUAUCUGUGAAAUUUACGAGCAAUGUCUGAGUGAAAUUUUAUUUUGACUUUUACUGUGCUUAUAAAUCACUCAAACUCGUUUUUACUUUCUUAAUAAAAUAUUUAAUUUUA